CGGGCGAACGGGUGAGUAACACGUAGGUGAUCUGCCCAUCAGACGGGGACAACGAUUGGAAACGAUCGCUAAUACCGGAUAGGACGAAAGUUUAAAGAUGCUCCUGGCAUCACUGAUGGAUGAGCCUGCGGCGCAUUAGCUAGUUGGUGGGGUAAAGGCCUACCAAGGCGACGAUGCGUAGCCGACCUGAGAGGGUGAACGGCCACACUGGGACUGAGACACGGCCCAGACUCCUACGGAAGGCAGCAG
rnacentral:rRNA from 1 species